GGAUUAGAUACCCUGGUAGUCCACGCCGUAAACGAUGUCUACUAGUCGUUGGGUCCCUUGAGGACUUAGUGACGCAGCUAACGCAAUAAGUAGACCGCCUGGGGAGUACGGCCGCAAGGUUAAAACUCAAAUGAAUUGACGGGGGCCCGCACAAGCGGUGGAGCAUGUGGUUUAAUUCGAUGCAACGCGAAGAACCUUACCUGGUCUUGACAUAUCUAGAAUCCUGCAGAGAUGCGGGAGUGCCUUCGGGAAUUAGAAUACAGGUGCUGCAUGGCUGUCGUCAGCUCGUGCCG
rnacentral:rRNA from 1 species